AUCCAUUCGAUGAGUCCCAAAUAGGACGAAACGCGCGUCCUGGAU
rnacentral:hammerhead_ribozyme from 1 species